CGCAAGUGAAAUCCAAGAUUCUUUAAUUACAAGAUCAAGAUUUCUUGAGCCCUAAAACUUUCUUACAAGCAAAUUCCUAUAACGAACUACAGCGGAUGAAAACGGAAGCAAGCCCCAAGCAUCUCGAGUUGCAAGAAGGUCAUCAUUGAUCAGUUCGAAGGAAACAGCACAUAGCGAUCAAGAAUUCCUAUAACGAACUACGAUCAAUUAUUGAUCCCAAAAAAGUUUCUUACAAGCAAUUUCCUACGGUGAACCUCCAGGGGACGAACCGAAGCAGGCCCCAAGAAUCUUGAGUUGCAAGAAGAACAUCGCCGAUCAAGAAUUCCUAUAACUAACCACAACAAAGAUGACCAGCAAAUUUACAACAAUCUUGAGUUGCAAGAAGAUCAACGUGGAACGCAAAUGAUUCGUAUAAUCAUAACCCGCGAGCUACUUACCAUCAACAAUUCACGAGCGAUGGAAGAAACAUCUGAAGGAGGCGGAUCGAACCUUGAGGAUGGUUUGGAUCCACGUCCUAGUGAGAUCCCGCAACGGAAAAUGGGAAGGGGGCGGAGAAAAGUGGGGAGGAGAAGCAUUGUAAAACCCUAGGAGGAGAGUUCUUGAGAAUGGAGAUUAAGAUUUUGGUUUCUGCUCCGACGAAUCAGAUCACUCCCAUUUGGUUUCUGCUCCGCCGAAUCAGAUCACUCCCGCCGGUCCUCCCUCUUCGAGUCCUCNNNN
rnacentral:lncRNA from 1 species